UACAGAGGGGGCAAGCGUUGUUCGGAAUUACUGGGCGUAAAGCGUGCGCAGGCGGUUCGUUAAGUCAGCUGUGAAAGCCCCGGGCUCAACCUGGGAAUUGCGGUUGAAACUGGCGAACUAGAAUCUGGCAGAGGGGGGUGGGAUUCCACGUGUAGCAGUGAAAUGCGUAGAGAUGUGGAGGAACACCGAUGGCGAAGGCAGCCUUCUGGGCCAACACUGACGCUCAUGCACGAAAGCGUGGGGAGCAAACAGG
rnacentral:rRNA from 1 species